CACGUAGGGGGCUAGCGUUGUCCGGAAUCAUUGGGCGUAAAGCGCGUGUAGGCGGCCAGAUAAGUCCGGUGUGAAAGUCAAAGGCUCAACCUUUGAAUGCCGCUGGAAACUGUCUGGCUAGAGUCCGGAAGGGGCGAGUGGAACUCCUGGUGUAGCGGUGAAAUGCGCAGAUAUCAGGAAGAACACCUAUGGCGAAGGCAGCUCGCUGGGACGGUACUGACGCUGAGACGCGAAAGCGUGGGGAGCAAACAGG
rnacentral:rRNA from 1 species